rnacentral:rRNA from 1 species
UACGUAGGCAGCGAGCGUUGUUCGGAGUUACUGGGCGUAAAGGGCGCGUAGGCGGCUUAACAAGUCACUUGUGAAAUCUCCGGGCUUAACUCGGAACGGCCAAGUGAAACUGUCAAGCUAGAGUGCAGAAGGGGCAAUCGGAAUUCUUGGUGUAGCGGUGAAAUGCGUAGAUAUCAAGAGGAACACCUGAGGUGAAGACGGGUUGCUGGGCUGACACUGACGCUGAGGCGCGAGAGCGUGGGGAGCAAACUGG